ACGAACGCUGGCGGCGUGCCUAAUACAUGCAAGUCGAACGCUUCUUUCCUCCCGAGUGCUUGCACUCGAUUGGAAAGAGGAGUGGCGGACGGGUGAGUAACACGUGGGUAACCUACCCAUCAGAGGGGGAUAACACUUGGAAACAGGUGCUAAUACCGCAUAACAGUUUAUGCCGCAUGGCAUAAGAGUGAAAGGCGCUUUCGGGUGUCGCUGAUGGAUGGACCCGCGGUGCAUUAGCUAGUUGGUGAGGUAACGGCUCACCAAGGCCACGAUGCAUAGCCGACCUGAGAGGGUGAUCGGCCACACUGGGACUGAGACACGGCCCAGACUCCUACGGGAGGCAGCAGUAGGGAAUCUUCGGCAAUGGACGAAAGUCUGACCGAGCAACGCCGCGUGAGUGAAGAAGGUUUUCGGAUCGUAAAACUCUGUUGUUAGAGAAGAACAAGGACGUUAGUAACUGAACGUCCCCUGACGGUAUCUAACCAGAAAGCCACGGCUAACUACGUG
rnacentral:rRNA from 1 species